GGAUGUGGCUCAGUGGUAGAGUGCUCACCUAGCAUGUGUGAGGCCCUGGGUUCAAUUCUCAGCACCA
rnacentral:tRNA from 1 species